rnacentral:tRNA from 1 species
GCCGACGUAGCUCAGCCGGUAGAGCAGCGCAUUCGUAAUGCGCCGGUCGCCAGUUCGAAUCUGGCCGUCGGCU